UCCAGGUGUGCCACCACACGUCUGUAGUCCUAGCUACUCAGGGGGCUGCAGCAGGAGAAUUUCUUGAGUCCAGGAGUUCUGGGCUGUACUGUGCUAUGCCGAACAGGUGUCCGCAGAAAGCUGAGCAUCAGUACCCUGGGAGUGGAGGACCACUAGGUUGUCUAGGGAGAGAUGAACCAGCCCAGGCUGGAAAUGGGGCAGGUUAAAACUUCCAUGCUAGGCCAGGCAAAGUGGCUCAUGACUGUAAUGAAGCACUUUGGGAGGCUGAUGUGGAAGGAUCCCUUGAGCCUAGGAGUUUGAGACCAGCCUGGGCAAGACAGGAAAACCCUGUCUCUA
ensembl:misc_RNA Metazoa_SRP Metazoan signal recognition particle RNA